rnacentral:misc_RNA from 1 species
GAUGAAGAACGCAGCGAAAUGCGAUAAGUAGUGUGAAUUGCAGAAUUCAGUGAAUCAUCGAAUCUUUGAACGCACAUUGCGCCCUUUGGUAUUCCUUAGGGCAUGCCUGUUCGAGCGUCAUUUGAAACCUCAAGCUCAGCUUGGUGUUGGGUGUCUGUCCCCGCCUCACCGCGGGGACUCGCCUCAAAAUCAUUGGCGGCCGGUACGUUGGCUUCGAGCGCAGCAGAAACGCGAACUCGAGGCCCGGCGGAUCGGCGACCAGAAGUCACUUCUUCACAAUUUGACCUCGGAUCAGGUAGGGAUACCCGCUGAACUUAAGCAUAUCAAUAAGCGGAGGA